rnacentral:rRNA from 1 species
GAGGAAUAUUGGUCAAUGGGCGCAGGCCUGAACCAGCCAAGCAGCGUGAAGGAUGACUGCCCUAUGGGUUGUAAACUUCUUUUAUAUGGGAAUAAAGUUUUCCACGCGUGGAAUUUUGUAUGUACCAUAUGAAUAAGGAUCGGCUAACUCCGUGCCAGCAGCCGCGGUAAUACGGAGGAUCCGAGCGUUAUCCGGAUUUAUUGGGUUUAAAGGGAGCGUAGGUGGACAGUUAAGUCAGUUGUGAAAGUUUGCGGCUCAACCGUAAAAUUGUAGUUGAUACUGGCUGUCUUGAGUACAGUAGAGGUGGGCGGAAUUCGUGGUGUAGCGGUGAAAUGCUUAGAUAUCACGAAGAACUCCGAUUGCGAAGGCAGCUCACUGGACUGCAACUGACAUUGAUGCUCGAAAGUGUGGGUAUCAAAC